UACGGGGGGGGCAAGCGUUGUUCGGAAUUACUGGGCGUAAAGGGCUCGUAGGUGGCCAACUAAGUCAGACGUGAAAUCCCUCGGCUUAACCGGGGAACUGCGUCUGAUACUGGAUGGCUUGAGUUCGGGAGAGGGAUGCGGAAUUCCAGGUGUAGCGGUGAAAUGCGUAGAUAUCUGGAGGAACACCGGUGGCGAAGGCGGCUCACUGGACCGGAACUGACGCUGAGGCGCGAAAGCGUGGGGAGCAAACAGG
rnacentral:rRNA from 1 species